rnacentral:rRNA from 1 species
UACGUAGGGUCCGAGCGUUGUCCGGAAUUAUUGGGCGUAAAGAGCUCGUAGGCGGUUUGUCGCGUCUGCUGUGAAAUCCCGAGGCUCAACCUCGGGCCUGCAGUGGGUACGGGCAGACUUGAGUGGUGUAGGGGAGACUGGAAUUCCUGGUGUAGCGGUGGAAUGCGCAGAUAUCAGGAGGAACACCGAUGGCGAAGGCAGGUCUCUGGGUCGAUACUGACGCUCAUGCACGAAAGCGUGGGGAGCAAACAGG